AAAAAAAAACAUGGAUAAGAAAACUAUCUCACAGAGUUGUCAUGAAGGUGGAAUGCACAGGAAGCACUUUCCACUGUGCACAACACCUGGUAAGUGUGUUCCAUUAUUCAUUACUGUCCAUUUUGGUUCAGCAGUUUAACAGCAUGUCAGAAUGAGUAGGAAUCAUAACUACUGCAUAGUCAUGAGUGUUUCCAUUCAAAGAAGCCAUUUUCUUUAUUAGAAACUAUAGCUUAGUGGUAACUAUAGUCAACCAACUACAGUUGUUCUGGGGACUAAGGUUGCUUUCUUUGUUAUACCCUUUGAUUAAUAAUGUUAAAAGACCCAGAAGAAGAAACUGGAGAAGGACAGAAGCAAUAAACACAUCACACAAAGGUGAGGAGGUUGGAAAUCUGAACUGAGAGAAGUAGCUCAAACAUUUCUACUUUUUUCUAGUUCCUCUUUUGUCCUUUAGCCUCCUUUAUUAAUAUCUGCUCCAUAGGGGGAAAGCCUAGUGAGAAAUCCAAGUUUUAGGGACCUCUAUGCACUUGUUACCAUGUCCACCAGGGGGAGGCCUGACAACACAUUUCUGUGGUAAGGUAAUAGGUGGGAGUGGGUCAAAGUCUCUUUUUUGUAGAAGUUUCUCAUUAACACUUCAUCAAGAUUAGAAAAACAGUGAUACUGUUGACGAAUGCACGUGUGCCACUUGAUUUCAAAGAAGCAAGUUGAUUUCAACCGUCUAAUUUUUUAUUGGUGUGCUAAGAAAGGGGCGAAUAUAAACCCUAAGGGCAGAAUCAAAAACCAGACUGUAAGCUGAUCAAAGUAAGGGGAUCUUAGACUGUUCUUUUAUCAGUAGGACAGAAAAAUGCACACUGGCAGAGAGCUCUAAGAAAUUCCACAUGUAAUAUCAAAUAAAAUUUCUAAUCUCACAUUGCCUUCAAAUACAUCUUAAAUUAUAGGAAAUGUUUAAUACACUUCUGGGGUGAAGCACAUUUCUCUACCCUUACUCUUUUAAGUUUAUGGGUUUUUUUUUUCCUGCUGGGUAAGAAGGAUUCCAUAUAUUCAUAAUUCCGCACUCGGAUGAAAUGAAGAGUCAACUUUCUAUGGUAUAUCUCUGUGUAUUUAUAUAUUUGUAGUAUUUAUGAUGUCUUACAAAUACCAACUGCAAGCUAAAAAGUCACUUUACAGAUAGAAAUCAAGGUAUAAAGUAUGCAAUUAGAAAAGAAGUAAACAUGCCUUUGGGGAUUAUUAUUUAUUUAUUUAUUUUUGAGACCGAGUCUCGCUUGGUCGCCCAGGCUGGAGUGCAGUAGUGCGAUUUCAGCUCACUGCAAACUCUGCCUCCCAGGUUCAAGUGAUUCUCGUGCCUCAGCCUCCUGCGUAGCUGGGAUUACAGGUGUGCCCAGCUAAUUUUUGUAUUUUUAGUAGAGACGGGGUUUCACCAUGAUGGCCAGGCUGGUCUCGAACUCCUGACCUCAAGUGAUCCACUGCCUCAGCCUCCCAAAGUACCGGGAUUACAGGCAUGAGCCACCGUGCCCAGCCUGAUUAUAAUUUAUAUUGGAAGUUAUUGUAUAAGCAGAAAAUUCAGAGAGAUCCAGAAAAGAGGUGGGAGCUCUUUGGGUUUUAAUAGUUGGAAAACACUGCAUGGAAAAAAUCCAGCAUGACCUGGAUCUUUAUAAUAGUAUACAUAAGGAAGAGACCUGUAAGGAAACACCUGUCAUACUUGUCUGUUCAAUGGCACUAACACAAAUAAACAAAUAGGCUCACUCUCAAUGUUUGAAUACAGCCCAAACAAUAGAAGCAGAGCUCAGUGUGACAUGGAAUUCCAUGACAACCUUCCUUCUAAGCAAAUUCCAUUCAAUUUUCAUCCCCACUUAAUCACUUGCACCAUCAGUUUAAACUAGAUUUUAUAAGAACCUGCCUGCUAAUGAAUACUAUUAUUUCUGCAUAGGGUUUUAUAGAGAUUUUAAAAUGCUUCUCAUAUAUCAUCUCAGUUGAUCUUCACAGCAAAUCUGUAAAGUUGGUAGGGUUUAUUGGUCCUUAUUUUAUAGAUGGCCUGAAAAGUUAGGUGCCUUGCAAAGGUCAUGCCAUUAACAAAGAAGGUAUAUAAUGUUGACGUGAAGUCCUAUAUGCUUUCUGCAGCAACAGAUCACCUCUUGUAUCAUGACCAAAUGUGAAUCUAACUCAUUUUAAUUCAUUUUUUCUCUUCUGUCCCUUCCUCUAUCUCCAUGCUUCUUUUUUGAAGAUCUUCCCUUAAUUUUUUUUUCCUGAAGCCUACAAAUUUCUCCCACUUAUUUAUCUCUUUAUUAUUUAUGUAGCUCUGAUCCUUCAGGCUACACACCUUUUGCAAGGAUAUGGAUAAUGUCUACUUUCCUUUGAUUUUUUUGUCCUCCUCCUGUUUGUUCUAUUCUGACUCUAGAGACAACAGGCUAUUUGGCAUAGAUUUUAUAUGUGAAUUGGUCCCUUUCCUUCUUAUCUGAGGCAUUUAAGCAUGAGUUGACCCAAAUUGACAUGCUCUCUGGACUUCUAUUCAUUACACAGACUUCAGCUUCCACAACAUCUAAAAUAGUCUCUAACUGGAUAUCAGAUUUCAGAGUGGUUUUUUUUUUUUUUUGGGACUUACUGGUCACAGUGCCACCAAACCUUUAUAUUCUCAGGUCCACAUAUCAAAAAUCUGCCCUGGAUUAUAAUAUUAUGCUGCUUUACCACAAUAUGUCUUCCACCUAAUCAUAUGAUCUCCAACAAUUUUAUUCCUGAAUAAUAAUGUAUGUAGACAAAUAUUUAGCUUGCUGCUUAAUCCUGUGUCCUUUAAAAACUGUUCUUCAGAUCUUAUUUCUUCAGAUGUUUCUUCACACAUAAACCAUAAGCUUUACAUCACACUCCAUCACAGUCUGUCUAAAACUAGGCAAAAUGGGAUUUCACAUCAAAGUUUCACCUAUAUAAUCCCUGAGGACCAGCUGACUUGGAAAUUAAUCCUAGCAACAGAUAAUCUUCGCAGAGAUUUCUGAUGAAGUGUUUUUUUCCCUGAGACAUUGCUGGCAGUCCUUUUUAAUUCCGGUGACCUUAGAGGAAUAAGCAGAUGUCCCAACCCUAUCAGAAGUUCCUUUUGCCUUUUCCCCUCCUCAAGGUACAGCAGAAUUUAUCUCUCUGCUUUUUUUUGUUCCAUCCUUUAUACAUUUAAAAAAAGAGAGAGAUGUUACAACAUUUCUUUUGCUUCUUUUUCUGCUACCUUUCUACUCUUUGAGACGACUAUUAUCAGACAAAGCUGGCUGCAGAUCUUGGCUCCACCCCACUUUAUCACCUGUGUGACCCUCAGCAAAUGAACCUCUGAAUCUCUGAACCUCAGACUCUGUGUGUGUAAUAUACAAAAGGUGAUAGCUACUUCAAAAGGCUGUUGUCAGGAACAAGGCAGAUAAUAUACCUAAAGCACGUAGCACAAUGUCUGGUUCAUAAUAAGUGCCAAGACACCAUGUUAUUAUUUAUUAUUAUUAUUUUUCCUCUUCUCAAUUUCAGUUCUUCCCAGUGCUUACUUCCCAAUUACUUCAUGGCAUAAUCUUUUUACUCUCCAUCAAUUAUUUUUCAAGGACUCUAUUCCCUCUCAAAGUGGACUACUAGCUAACCUUCUACCAAAGCAGCCAUCAAUAUUCAGGACGCCAAUAAUACUGAUUAAAUAUUCACUGUAAUGUCUAGUCCUAUAUUAGACAUGAUGACCUCAGAGAUGUAAACUGACCUCAGAGAGAAGGGCUCUUAAACAGCUAGAACUCCCACGUUUCGAUUCCUGGACAAUCCGCAAAUAAACAUCCAAAGUAGAUACAUUUGCAUUUGUCUUCCCAUUGUCUUUUGAUUACUCUAUUUAAUUUUUUAAAAAUCUGAAAAUAAACAUUUAUGAAUAAUGUCCAUAUGAACUAAUGGAUUAAAUCUGAACCCCUCACUGGAUAUUCAAGGCCCUUCAUAAUAUAGCCCUAACUUAACUUUCUUAUCAUUAAAUACUCCCUAAUGCCUGCCUUACGUUUCAGCCCUUGUCAUUAUUCAUUAUUCUGCAGUAUUUGCCUUCACAUUUUGGCCUCCGUAUCUUUGCUUAUGCUAUUCCAUUUGCAUAUGUCUUCUCUCAUUCUUUUUUUAUGUUAAACAUUACCUAUUCUUAAUGUCCAUUUCAAAUUCUCUGUCCUCUGACAUCACUGACAAUCUUACUCCUUUUGCAUUUCCGAAACACUCAUAUGCAGGUAUCUAUUCAUUCAGGGAACAAGUACAAGGUAUCAUACUGAUGCUUUGGAUACAAAGAUUAAUUUUUAAAAUUUAAAACAAUUCCAGCCUAGCAGGAAAACUAAUAAUAAUACCUAUAAAACAGAAUAACUAGUGUUAAAAUAAAAGUAUAUGCAAAGUACAGUUGUUCAGUCUAUUCAAAUUCUGUUCUUGGGGGCUACAGGGUGGUUAGACUGACUGUCUUUCCAGAGAAAGUGGCACUUGAAUUGGCACACAAAGAAUAGAUGAGAUGUGCCCAGUCCAAGAAUAAGAGGAAGUUAAGAGGGGCUGUGGGGGUAGGGGAUGGGGGGCGGGAAGCCACUGGGGAAAAGAAGAGGCAUUAGGUUGCGUAGUAUGCUAGUGUAGAUCAAGGUUAUUCAGUGUAGUUCUUCAAGACCAAGCUUGACUACCCCUCUGGCACUGUCAUCCUUCAUCUGCAACCCAUACCCUAGAAAUCAGCUAUUCCAAUCUAAUCUAGAUCCCACACCAAGCUGCUCUAAUUUCUUGCAACACCUCCCCACGUCUCUCUUUCUUUCUCUUUCUUUCUUUGCUUUUGUCUUUCUUUCUUUUCUUUCUUUCUCUUUCUCCUUCUUUCUUUUCUUUCUUGACAGAGUCUUGCUCUGUCACUCAGGCUGGAGUGCAGUGGCGUGAUCUUGAGUUCACAGCAGACUUAACCUCUUGGGUUCAAGCAGUUCUCCCACCUCAGCCUCAUGAGGAGCUGGCACUACAGGCAUGUGCCAUCACACUCAGCUAAUUUUUGUAUUUUUUUGUAGAGACAGCGUUUCACCAUGUUGCCCAGGCUGGUCUUUUUUUUUUUUUUUCCUGGGUAAAUCUGCAUAUUGCUUCCUCUGCAGAGCCAUCCCUACUCCUUCAGUCAGGUAAAUUAGGUGCCCCUUCCUUAUGGCCCUUAGAACUGUGCAUAGCUUUUGUCAAUAGUUUUACAAUGACUAUAAACCUUUUUACUUAAGCUAUAAAGUCUUAUAUAUUUCCCUGCUGUCUAACAUAUGUUGAAUGAAUGAAUGAGUCAAUGGGCACCUGUUAUGUGCCAGAAAUUCUGGUAGGCCCUAGGAGGGAAAGUGCAGUAAGACAUAAUUCUUGCCCUUAAGGAGUUUAAAGCUCAGAUGUGUCAUAAGGGGUGUAUCAGUGGCUGAGGAUGAAGGGAGAAGAGAGAAGGAGGUAUUGAGUUGUGGGAGCCAUUGGCCGAGACUGGAGAGAGGAGACAAGGAGACGGAUUCCCUUUGUGUGUUCCCAGCACCUACCAACAUAAAGACUGAAAGCUGUUGGACUCAUGCUCAAAAGAAUCAUAGGCAAGUUGUGUUUGUCCCAUUAAGCUAACAUUUAAAAAUCAGAAGAUUUUAUCCAAAAGAUGGAUUUCCAACUUCUUUUGAAUGAUCUGGUAACAUGGGACUGUAGUCUCAGAAUGGAAAAACAGCUGACCUUUAAAGAUAAGGUAUUAACUCUCACAUUUUUUAUUUUAAAUAAACCUAUUUCAGUUAAGAAAUGAAUUACUUUAAAGAAAAAUAAAGGUAAAUAACUAGACAGGCAGUCCUUGGACAUGGCCUAAAAAGUGAAGGGGCUCUUAAAUGAUGGUUCAAGGCCAUAGAGAGCAACACAUGGGCCUCCAGUUUGUCUACCACUGCCCACCCUAUCCCAGUUCCAACUUCCAACAUUUUAGUCAAAAUGUAUACAUAAGUUGGACAUAUCUGUAAAAUCGUUGUGUAUUGCUUCCUUUAUAAAGUGCCAUCUUUGUAAUUAUUUUCCAAAUUUAGUCUCAUCUGAUGUUUAUAUUGCAACUUCUACUUUCCUGUUAUUUGUAUUUUCUUAGAAUGUCUUUGUUCAUUCUUUUAAAGUUUUCUAAGUAAUUUUAAUUUAGUGCUCUCUCUAUAUACAGAGUAUACAAUGUAAAUGUUCUUUGCUUUAUAAUCCAAGCAGAUUAUUUUAUAAUAGAUAGGUUUAGCAUAUUUACAUUUAUGGAUAUAACAGAUGAGUGCUAGUUCUAUCAUUUUUUUGAUGAUUUCUUUCUUAUUUUUAGCUUAUUUUUAAUGAUAUUUCACUAUAUGUUCUAUGCUUGUUUUGUGUUGUUACAUUUUUUCUGACAAUUGGAAAAGUUUGUAUUUUUGUUUUAUCUUUAUUGUGAAAUAUACAUACUCUUCUAUUUGUUUUGUUUGUUUGUUUGUUUGUUUGUUUUUAGAUGGCGUCUCUGGCAGCCAGGCUGGAACGCGGUGGGUGAUCUCGGCUCACUGCAACCUUUG
rnacentral:lncRNA from 1 species